CGGCAGCACGGAGCUUGCUCUGGUGGCGAGUGGCGAACGGGUGAGUAAUAUAUCGGAACGUACCCUAGAGUGGGGGAUAACGUAGCGAAAGUUACGCUAAUACCGCAUACGAUCUAAGGAUGAAAGUGGGGGANUCGCAAGAACCUCAUGCUCGUGGAGCGGCCGAUAUCUGAUUAGCUAGUUGGUAGGGUAAAAGCCUACCAAGGCAUCGAUCAGUAGCUGGUCUGAGAGGACGACCAGCCACACUGGAACUGAGACACGGUCCAGACUCCUACGGGAGGCAGCAGUGGGGAAUUUUGGACAAUGGGCGAAAGCCUGAUCCAGCAAUGCCGCGUGAGUGAAGAAGGCCUUCGGGUUGUAAAGCUCUUUUGUCAGGGAAGAAACGGUGGUUUCUAAUACAGAUCACUAAUGACGGUACCUGAAGAAUAAGCACCGGCUAACUACGUGCCAGCAGCCGCGGUAAUACGUAGGGUGCAAGCGUUAAUCGGAAUUACUGGGCGUAAAGCGUGCGCAGGCGGUUUUGUAAGUCUGUCGUGAAAUCCCCGGGCUCAACCUGGGAAUGGCGAUGGAGACUGCAAGGCUAGAGUUUGGCAGAGGGGGGUAGAAUUCCACGUGUAGCAGUGAAAUGCGUAGAUAUGUGGAGGAACACCGAUGGCGAAGGCAGCCCCCUGGGUCAAGACUGACGCUCAUGCACGAAAGCGUGGGGAGCAAACAGGAUUAGAUACCCUGGUAGUCCACGCCCUAAACGAUGUCUACUAGUUGUCGGGUUUUAAUUAACUUGGUAACGCAGCUAACGCGUGAAGUAGACCGCCUGGGGAGUACGGUCGCAAGAUUAAAACUCAAAGGAAUUGACGGGGACCCGCACAAGCGGUGGAUGAUGUGGAUUAAUUCGAUGCAACGCGAAAAACC
rnacentral:rRNA from 1 species